rnacentral:misc_RNA from 1 species
GGGGUUUAACUGAAAUUUAAUAAUUUAAUAGGCGAUACAAAUUUAGGCUUUAUGAAUUGUUUUAAUAGACCUUAUAUUAAGCCCUAAAUCUCACUAAACCAUCAUAUUUGGCGUUUGGGUAAAAUACAUGCAGAAGUUUCUUCUUCCUCUAGAGAAGACGUUCUUCACUCUUCUAGUCGAAGUUCCACCCACAACUAGCAGAAGAGUCUCCCGAGGACAAAGAGCUAAGAAAGCUAUCUUCUUCUGCUAUUGCUGCUGUUGCUGCUGUUGACUUCUCCUUCUUCUUCUUUUGCUGUUG